rnacentral:rRNA from 1 species
AUUGAACGCUGGCGGCAUGCCUUACACAUGCAAGUCGAACGGCAGCACGGGGGCAACCCUGGUGGCGAGUGGCGAACGGGUGAGUAAUACAUCGGAACGUGCCCUGAAGUGGGGGGAUAACGUAGCGAAAGUUACGCUAAUACCGCAUAUUCUGUGAGCAGGAAAGCAGGGGAUCGCAAGACCUUGUGCUUUAGGAGCGGCCGAUGUCGGAUUAGCUAGUUGGUGAGGUAAAGGCUCACCAAGGCGACGAUCCGUAGCGGGUCUGAGAGGAUGAUCCGCCACACUGGGACUGAGACACGGCCCAGACUCCUACGGGAGGCAGCAGUGGGGAAUUUUGGACAAUGGGCGCAAGCCUGAUCCAGCCAUGCCGCGUGAGUGAAGAAGGCCUUCGGGUUGUAAA